rnacentral:rRNA from 1 species
GACGAACGCUGGCGGCGUGCUUAACACAUGCAAGUCGAACGGACAGGCCCUGCUUUUGUGGGGUGCUCGAGUGGCGAACGGGUGAGUAACACGUGAGUAACCUGCCCUUGUCUUUGGGAUAACUUCUGGAAACUGGGGCUCAUACCGGAUAGGAGCUCCUGCUGCAUGGUGGGGGUUGGAAAGUUUCGGCGGUUGGGGAUGGACUCGCGGCUUAUCGGCUUGGUGGUGGGGUAGUGGCUUACCAAGGCUUUGACGGGUAGCCGGCCUGGGAGGGUGACCGGGCACAAUGGGACUGAGAUACGGCCCAGACUGCUACGGGAGGCAGAAGUGGGGAAUAUUGCACAAUGGGCGGAAGCCUGAUGCAGCAACGCCGCGUGCGGGAUGACGGCCUUCGGGUUGUAAACCGCUUUCGCCGGUGACGAAGCGUGAGUGACGGUAAUGGGUAAAGAAGCACCGGCUAACUACGUG